GCGGGAGUAGCUCAGUCGGCAGAGCGUCUGCUUCCCAAGCAGAAGGUCGCGAGUUCGAACCUCGUCUCCCGCUCCA
rnacentral:tRNA from 1 species